AGGGAUUGCCUCAGUAACGGCGAGUGAAGCGGCAACAGCCCAGAUUUGAAAUCUGACUUUCGGGUCCGACUUGUAAUCUGCAGAUGAGUCUUUUGACGGAGCGCCGUCCAAGUUCCCUGGAACGGGACGCCGGAGAGGGUGAGAGCCCCGUACCGACGUGCGCCGAGUCUUUGCAAAGCUCAUUCGAAGAGUCGAGUAGUUUGGAAAUGCUGCUCUAAUUGUGGGGUAAAUCUCCCAUAAGGCUAAAUACUGGCCAGAGACCGAUAGCGCACAAGUAGCGUGAGCGAAAGAUGAAAAGAGCCUUGAACAAGGGCGUCAAAAAGCAUGUGAAAUUGUUAUGGGGGAAGCGCUCAAUGCCAGACGUGGCGGCGGUUGGUUACCCAGUGUUCUUCACUGGCGCACUCUUCCGUCGCCAGGCCAGCAUCAGUUCGGUCCGGGGCUUACUUCCGCUCGGAACGUGGCUCUUCGGAGUGUUAUAGCCCUGCGGCGACGCCCUGGGCCGGACUGAGGAACGCGCAUCUGCCCGGAUGCUGGCGUAAUGGCUUUUAGCGACCCGUCUUGAAACACGGACCAAGGAGUUGACCUAGUAUGCGAGUGUUUGGGUGUCAAGCCCUCACGCGCAGUGAAAGCGAACGCAGGUGGGAGCCUCGGCGCACCAUCGACCGAUCCUGAAGUUUACGGAUGGAUUUGAGUAGGAGCAUACUGGGUCUGACCCGAAAGAAGGUGAACUAUGCAUGAAUAGGGUGAAGCCAGAGGAAACUCUGGUGGAGGCUCGCAGCGGUUCUGACGUGCAAAUCGAUCGUCAAAUUUGUGCAUGGGGGCGAAAGACCAA
rnacentral:rRNA from 1 species